UAUUUACUAGCCAAUGAGUUCAAGAACAAAGAGAAAGAAGAAGAAGAAAGGAAAGAUAACGAAGAAGAAGCAUGUGUGCUGGAAUGUGAAGAAGGCCAAACUUCUAGAGGGGCCUACAAUGAUGAAGAUGAUGAUGGUAUGACGGACAUCGAAGAGGAAAUUAAUCUGAAAGCAGAAAGAAGAAAGAGAGGAGUAUCGCACAAUACCCUGUCGAAACAACUACAUAGAGAAGGUGUUCGUGAAGUGGAUUUGUUGGGAGAACCAUUUGGACGUUCUUUCGAUUAUUAUGUGUUGUAUGGGACACCCAAGAGAAAAAGGAGAGUACCUCACUCUGAAAAGUAUGGGUCACCUCCAAGAAUAUUGCCUCUUCCCACAAGUUGGAUAACCGAAAAAGAAGUAUUAGAAAACAAUAAACAAGAAAUUCAGGAAGCGGAAGCUCAGUGCGACAUACUACACGUUGACUUAUCACAAAAGGAUAAUUCAACAGAGAGCAAGUAGGAAGUGGAAAUAGAUGCUGCCGAAAAUGUUAUUUCUAAGAGACUAGCCAUGGAGUUAACUAAACACUUAAGGCCAUUAUACUUUAAGGCUCUAGUUAACGGUAUACCUGUGACGAAAGUACUUAUCGAUAAUGGAGC
rnacentral:lncRNA from 1 species